UAGAGUUUGAUCAUGGCUCAGGAUGAACGCUAGCGACAGGCUUAACACAUGCAAGUCGAGGGGCAGCGGGUAGAUGAGCUUGCUCAUUUAUGCCGGCGACCGGCGCACGGGUGAGUAACACGUAUGCAACCUGCCCGUCUCAGGGGGAUAAUCGUCGGAAACGGCGUCUAAUACCCCGUAUGAAGCCGGACGGCAUCGUCUGGUUUUGAAAGAAUAUCGGAGACGGAUGGGCAUGCGGCGCAUUAGCUAGUUGGCGGGGUAACGGCCCACCAAGGCGACGAUGCGUAGGGGUUCUGAGAGGAAGGUCCCCCACACUGGUACUGAGACACGGACCAGACUCCUACGGGAGGCAGCAGUGAGGAAUAUUGGUCAAUGGGCGAGAGCCUGAACCAGCCAAGUCGCGUGAGGGAGUACUGCCCUAUGGGUUGUAAACCUCUUUUGUCGGGGAGCAAAAGCCGGACGUGUCCGUCUGUGAGAGUACCCGAAGAAAAAGCAUCGGCUAACUCCGUGCCAGCAGCCGCGGUAAUACGGAGGAUGCGAGCGUUAUCCGGAUUUAUUGGGUUUAAAGGGUGCGUAGGCGGCCUGCCAAGUCAGCGGUAAAAUUGCGGGGCUCAACCCCGUACAGCCGUUGAAACUGCCGGGCUCGAGUGGGCGAGAAGUAUGCGGAAUGCGUGGUGUAGCGGUGAAAUGCAUAGAUAUCACGCAGAACCCCGAUUGCGAAGGCAGCAUACCGGCGCCCUACUGACGCUGAGGCACGAAAGUGCGGGGAUCAAACAGGAUUAGAUACCCUGGUAGUCCGCACAGUAAACGAUGAAUGCUAGCUGUCCGGGGGGAUUGACCCCUGGGUGGCACAGCGAAAGCGUUAAGCAUUCC
rnacentral:rRNA from 1 species